rnacentral:rRNA from 1 species
GACGAACGCUGGCGGCGUGCCUAAUACAUGCAAGUAGAACGCUGAAGAGAGGAGCUUGCUCUUCUUGGAUGAGUUGCGAACGGGUGAGUAACGCGUAGGUAACCUGCCUUGUAGCGGGGGAUAACUAUUGGAAACGAUAGCUAAUACCGCAUAACAAUGGAUGACACAUGUCAUUUAUUUGAAAGGGGCAAUUGCUCCACUACAAGAUGGACCUGCGUUGUAUUAGCUAGUAGGUGAGGUAACGGCUCACCUAGGCGACGAUACAUAGCCGACCUGAGAGGGUGAUCGGCCACACUGGGACUGAGACACGGCCCAGACUCCUACGGGAGGCAGCAGUAGGGAAUCUUCGGCAAUGGGGGCAACCCUGACCGAGCAACGCCGCGUGAGUGAAGAAGGUUUUCGGAUCGUAAAGCUCUGUUGUAAGUCAAGAACGAGUGUGAGAGUGGAAAGUUCACACUGUGACGGUAGCUUACCAGAAAGGGACGGCUAACUACGUGCCAGCAGCCGCGGUAAUACGUAGGUCCCGAGCGUUGUCCGGAUUUAUUGGGCGUAAAGCGAGCGCAGGCGGUUUGAUAAGUCUGAAGUUAAAGGCUGUGGCUCAACCAUAGUUCGCUUUGGAAACUGUCAAACUUGAGUGCAGAAGGGGAGAGUGGAAUUCCAUGUGUAGCGGUGAAAUGCGUAGAUAUAUGGAGGAACACCGGUGGCGAAAGCGGCUCUCUGGUCUGUAACUGACGCUGAGGCUCGAAAGCGUGGGGAGCGAACAGGAUCAGAUACCCUGGUAGUCCACGCCGUAAACGAUGAGUGCUAGGUGUUGGAUCCUUUCCGGGAUUCAGUGCCGCAGCUAACGCAUUAAGCACUCCGCCUGGGGAGUACGACCGCAAGGUUGAAACUCAAAGGAAUUGACGGGGGCCCGCACAAGCGGUGGAGCAUGUGGUUUAAUUCGAAGCAACGCGAAGAACCUUACCAGGUCUUGACAUCCCGAUGCUAUUUCUAGAGAUAGAAAGUUACUUCGGUACAUCGGUGACAGGUGGUGCAUGGUUGUCGUCAGCUCGUGUCGUGAGAUGUUGGGUUAAGUCCCGCAACGAGCGCAACCCCUAUUGUUAGUUGCCAUCAUUCAGUUGGGCACUCUAGCGAGACUGCCGGUAAUAAACCGGAGGAAGGUGGGGAUGACGUCAAAUCAUCAUGCCCCUUAUGACCUGGGCUACACACGUGCUACAAUGGUUGGUACAACGAGUUGCGAGUCGGUGACGGCAAGCUAAUCUCUUAAAGCCAAUCUCAGUUCGGAUUGUAGGCUGCAACUCGCCUACAUGAAGUCGGAAUCGCUAGUAAUCGCGGAUCAGCACGCCGCGGUGAAUACGUUCCCGGGCCUUGUACACACCGCCCGUCACACCACGAGAGUUUGUAACACCCGAAGUCGGUGAGGUAACCUUUUGGAGCCAGCCGCCUAAGGUGGGAUAGAUGAUUGGGG